rnacentral:rRNA from 1 species
GAUGAACGCUAGCGGCAGGCCUAAUACAUACAAGUCGAACGGUGUCUUCGGACAUAGUGGCGCACGGGUGCGUAACACGUAUGCAACCUACCUUACAUUGGGGGAUAGCCUUUCAAAAGGGAGAUUAAUAACGCAUAAGACAGUAGCUGGGCCUCCAGCAGCUGUUAAAGAUUUAUCGAUGUAAGCUGGGCAUGCGUACAAUUAGCUAGUUGGUGAGGUAACGGCUCACCAAGGCAAUGAUUGGUAGGGGAACUGAGAGGUCAAUCCCCCACACUGGCACUGAGAUACGGGCCAGACUCCUACGGGAGGCAGCAGUAGGGAAUAUUGGGCAAUGGACGCAAGUCUGACCCAGCCAUGCCGCGUGCAGGAUGAAGGCGUUAUGCGUUGUAAACUGCUUUUAUACAGGAAGAAACGACUCUUGCGAGAGGCAUUGACGGUACUGUAUGAAUAAGCACCGGCUAACUCCGUGCCAGCAGCCGCAGUAACAC